CUGGUUUAAGUCAGGACAAUGCUACUUCUCCUUUCUUACUUUUCCUUCUAGGUGAAUAAAGCAUCUUAGCAUCCCUCUCCUGGCUUCCUUCUGCUGCUUUCCUGAAUAUGCAUGGCAGUAUGCAUAGAACAAAACAUUCUCCCUGCUCCAAGAAGCAGGGUCUCCCUAGCCUGCCCUCAUGGACAGGUGAGCCUCAGUCCAGCAGAGCCUAUGGUUGGAGGCAAAAUGGGCCUCUUCCUGGAGUUCCGUUAGCAGGUCUAUCUGCCUCUCACUCUGAGCUCUGCCCUCUCCCUGAACCUGGUAACAAUAAGAGAUAUGUUGGCUUUGAACGAUUUGAUUUCUUGUCUCCUUUUUCCACUUGUUCUAAAUCAAAGUAGGGCAAAAUAUUCCUGUUUGUAGAGCAGAAACCUCAGAGACCUCAGCCCCAAUAUCUCUUCCUACCACAGUUUUCACAGACUAUUAGGAUCCCGGUGCAACAGAAGUGUUGAGAGAGCCCUUCUGCAAGGAACGAGAACCCAGCCAGGGCUCCACACUCCCGGAGAAGUUCUCUGUUCAGAACCACCCACUCUGUCAUCUGGGUCCUAUCAGUUCAUGCGGAUAGCUGCUGCCAUCACAAGGUGCCAGGCGCCAUGUUGGGCAUGUGGGUUACCUCAUUGAAUCUUCAAAUAGAUGCUGGUUUUGUCCCUCAGGAGAUGGAGGCUCCGAGAGGAUAGGAGACUUGUUCAAGAUUACUUGGCUCCUAAAGGAUGACAUUGGGCUUCAAUUUAAGUAGGAUUUCAAAGCUUGUGGCCUUGUUUCAUCAGAGGCGAGCAUCUCUACUUCCUCGGGACCAGGAUGGGUUGACCUGGGCUUCAUGUCUGAGUCUACCACUCAGUAGCUGAUUAACCCUGAGGAACACCCUGGACCUCUCCAAGGCUCAGACCUGUGAAAGGAAAGACCUUUCAACCCCCACCCUGGAGUGCACCAUAGGAUCAAAUGCAGCUGCGAAUAUUGUGCAAAAUUUUAAACACAAAAACUCCCCAUGAGACUGAGCUGAUAUCUCAUGGCUCUGGUGGCAAGCAAAAACACAAAGGGGAGAAGCCUCUUUUUUUCCCCCCUACUUCAGUUUUCUGUGUCAGUGCUUGUAAAAUCUUUGGUGUCAUGAACACCUCCUCCAAGUCUUUAGAAGUUCAACUUGCAUUAGGAUUUGACAAGGAAGUCCUUUGUUACUGUUUUCUUCUCUUUCAAGAUUAAAAGAAAAAUCUAAAUAUAGGACUGCCUUCUGCUUAGCAUAGUGCAUUUUCAGUAUAAGCAGACUGACUGCUCAGUCAGACUGAACAAAGCCCCGCGCCCCGAGCUGCCUAGCACCUGAGCCACUCUGCAGCCUGCCUCGUCCGCCUUUGAUGCCCACCUGUCAGUCCUGCUGCAUGGUGAAGAGGCCCCAAUACUGCCUUUCUAGGGCUUUGUCUUCUAUCAGCUGUUUUAUCUUUGCUUGGCUUCAAGCGUCUCUCUCUUUGUUCUCUGCCUUCUGUGUAUCUCUAACGUGGCAGUCUUUCAUUCCAGACCCCAACCUCCUCCCACAGCCUCCUGCACCAGCUUCUCAGGGCCCACAGGCAGCAUCUUGUGUGGGGACCCAAAGCGGCGGUUUGAGGCCACUGUGCAGGCUCAUCCAUCCCAGCUCUCACUAAGAGAACCCGAGCUGUUAAGGAGCAGGCUCUGCCUCCCCUCCCACCUCCAAACCUUUGCCAAGGCUGUUGCCCUAUCCUAGGCUGGAUUCCCCUUUGGGCUGCUCCAUGACUUGUCAAAAACAUAUCCUCAAAAGUUUAAGGGACUCUCAAAGCUAGCUUUUUCUCAAAGGUGUCCAGAGCGCUUCUAAACAGAAUCUUCUCCCCAUUGUGCUCCGCUGCAUUUGUUUCAUGAUGCUACAACCGCAUCCCUCUCUGCCAUGACUUUCUUUGUGUGAUAACCCAUGUCCUGGCAAAUAUGAAUUCCCAACAACAGAGACCACUCUAUUGGAAUUUAUACCUCCAGCCCCUUCCCUCUAGCCCCAGGUGUGGGUGCCUCGUAC
rnacentral:lncRNA from 1 species